rnacentral:rRNA from 1 species
UACGUAGGGUGCGAGCGUUUAAUCGGAAUUACUGGGCGUAAAGUGUGCGCAGGCGGCCGCGCAAGUCGAGUGUGAAAGCCCCGAGCUUAACUUGGGAAUUGCGCUCGAAACUACGUGGCUGGAGUGUGGCAGAGGAAGGUGGAAUUCCAGGUGUAGCGGUGAAAUGCGUAGAGAUCUGGAGGAACACCGAUGGCGAAGGCAGCCUUCUGGGCCAACACUGACGCUCAUGCACGAAAGCGUGGGGAGCAAACAGG